rnacentral:rRNA from 1 species
CCUACGAGUGGCAGCAGUGGGGGAUAUUGCACAAUGGGGGGAACCCUGAUGCAGCGACGCCGCGUGGGUGAAGGAGCGUUUCGGCGCGUAAAGCCCUAUCGGCAGGGAAGAAGGAGGACGGUACCUGACUAAGAAGCCCCGGCUAACUACGUUCCAGCAACCGCGGUAAUACGUAGGGGGCAAGCGUUAUCCGGAUUGACUGGGUGUAAGGGGGGCGCAGGCGGCAGCGCAAGCCAGGCGUGAAAGCCCGGGGCCCAACCCCGGGACUGCUCUUGGAACUGCGCGGUUGGAGUGCAGGAGGGGCAGGCGGAAUGCCUGGUGUAGCGGUGAAAUGCGUAGAUAUCAGGAGGAACACCGGUGGCGAAGGCGGCCUGCUGGACUGCGACUGACGUUGAGGCCCGAAAGCGUGGGGAGCAAACAGGAUUAGAUACCCCUGUAGUC